rnacentral:rRNA from 1 species
UACGUAGGGUGCGAGCGUUGUCCGGAAUUAUUGGGCGUAAAGGGCUCGUAGGCGGUUUGUCGCGUCGGGAGUGAAAACCUCGGGCUUAACUCGGGGCUUGCUUUCGAUACGGGCAGACUGGAGGUAUGCAGGGGAGAACGGAAUUCCUGGUGUAGCGGUGAAAUGCGCAGAUAUCAGGAGGAACACCGGUGGCGAAGGCGGUUCUCUGGGCCUUACCUGACGCUGAGGAGCGAAAGCGUGGGGAGCAAACAGG